rnacentral:hammerhead_ribozyme from 1 species
ACACCACUGAUGAGCUCGAAUAAGAGCGAAACUCGAGUCCGGUGU